rnacentral:lncRNA from 1 species
GAGGAAAGCGGCCGCUCGAUCUCCUCCUCGCCACUCGGAUGCGCCGCGACUCCCGGGGUGUCGCCCCCCCCCCCCCCUCCUGCGCGCCCCGUGAUUGACUGUGCGUCGCUCGCGCUGGAUCCUCCUUCCUCGCGCUCCGUCUCCGUCCCCUUCUCCGUCGCUGCGCUCUCGAGACACUGUAAGUUCGCGCACGGGGAUGCGGGCACGCGGGGCCGCCUGAAGAUGCCAGUCCACUGGAUGUGUUCCUCCCUCCUCGUGCUGCUCGCGCUCGCGCCCGCGCCCUUCUCGGCCCUGCGGAACUACCCGGACAAUGAAGGAAACCAGGCUCCAUCAAUUGGUCUUAUUUACCACGGUGUGAUCAGGUAGAGGGUGAGCGUCGGGAAGAGCCCCGAGGACACCGUGCCAAGGCUGAACGAGGACUGUAGCGGUGACCGCGAGAAAUCUGCUGUCCUCCAUGUUGUCUCCUUCCUCGCAGGACCCCCCCCAGAGGAAGGACGGCCCUUUUUUCAAUCUCCUCAGAUCCACCAGGAGACACGCUUGUGGUGUACAGCUCAAUAUUUCCUGACCUCGUUCUGCUCCAGAACAAAUGUGUUUGGCCUCAGCCUCAGCGUUGCUGUGCGCACCUUCAGGUCCAAGGUAAAGCCUUCGGUCUUCAGAGCUGCCCUGGGUUGCUGUGGCUCUGACCCCACGUGGUGCUACGUGGCUUUUGACCAAGAAGUGCUGAGCUCCUGACUGACAGCUGCCGCCUUGGCUCAGGACUUGCGCCCGGCUGUCUUUAAGCUGGAGGAUUGCUCUUCUGCACCGCUCUGCAGAGGCCGUGUUGAUUCAGCUGUGUGUGCGAUCCGCUCUUUCUUUCGCUUGGUGCCUCGCUGCUGACCCAAGGCACCGAAUCCCAGACAGCAGCUGCUCAGUCCUCGCCGCUCUGCUGGUUUUCGUUAAAUGGUGGGUUCUUUUCGAGCUCUUUCCUCCACGGUGUUCACCCCACCCCACCCAACCUCAAGGGUCCAGGCAGGAGGUCUAGCACUACCUGCAAAGUUUGCAUUUUAUUGAUUUAUUUCAGCUCUGCUGUUGUGUAAAUAUUCUACCUGAUGAAUAAAUGAGGUUCUAUAGGUGGGCA